AUACGGAGGGUGCGAGCGUUAAUCGGAAUUACUGGGCGUAAAGCGCGCGUAGGCGGUUAGAUAAGUCUGAUGUGAAAGCCCUGGGCUCAACCUGGGAAUGGCAUUGGAUACUGUUUAACUAGAGUGCAGGAGAGGAGAGUGGAAUUCUCGGUGUAGCGGUGAAAUGCGUAGGUAUCGGGAGGAACACCAGUGGCGAAGGCGGCUCUCUGGACUGACACUGACGCUGAGGUGCGAAAGCGCGGGUAGCAAACAGGAUUAGAUACCCCGGUAGUCC
rnacentral:rRNA from 1 species